rnacentral:piRNA from 1 species
UCAUGGUGGCAAAUGUGGCUUAUGUCAUAGA